GCCUGGUGGGUUGCAUCCACCUGAAAAUCCUCGCCAAAGAGGUGGGCUGUUAAAAACCUAAUGUUUCUGUCAGAUGCUGUCUUGCACAGCAGCACUCGAGGCUCUGUCCGCUCGAAGUAUAGCGUUGGCAAUGGCAUCCUAGCGCAGGCUUCUGGGUGCUCAUGGCUAUUAAAGAUGUGGGGAAUGCGUCAGGCUGGCAACAGAGCAGCGAAAACCGCACGCGUCGUAACGGUCGAGGGAUAGCAGAGCUACUGGGUGCGCAGAAACUUUUUGCAUUUUUUUAUUU
rnacentral:SRP_RNA from 1 species